CGAAAACGGCUUAAGCUCCGGGCCAAAAGCUAAAUGCCGACUGCCAGUGGCAAAGUAACAAAGUAAUUAUGAGAGUUUUGUCUAAUAGGCUUAAAAACGGCGGAAGGCCAAUUGGCAGGGCAGCAUGAAGAGGGUCAUGCUUGAGCAACAGUCGAGGCCAGAAGGGAAACAGACAUGGAUAUACAUAGAAACGGAAGACGAGCCGGUCGAGAAAUCCCCUAGGCAAGUGGAAAACAAGUCGAAGCCGCCUCGAAGGUGGAGAAGAGGCCGGCGGGCCUGUAAAACCAGCCCAGAACAUCACCAGCACAUUUCAGGAACCCAACCCAACCCGACCAGCCCAAGCGAUCCCGGGGCGAAUCGAACCCGAUCCCCUCGUGCUGCUUUAUGGCAUUGGGCGCCACCCAAUUAAAAGGCACUCGCCGGCCAUUAAAACCCUGGCCAGAUCGGGAAAAUCGGGCCCAGUGCAACAUUUCGCCGUAUUUUUUGCAAUUAGAGAAUUAUUAAAGUGUCGUUAAACGGCCGGGGAGCCUGGCAUAUGAA